AUUGAACGCUGGCGGCAGGCCUAACACAUGCAAGUCGAACGAGUGGCGGACGGGUGAGUAAUGUCUGGGAAACUGCCUGAUGGAGGGGGAUACCUCCUGGAAAGGGAACCAAAUACCCCUUACCAUCAGAUUGGCCCAGAUGGGAUUAGCUAGUUGGUGGGGUAACGGAUAACCAAGGCGCGGACCCCUUGCUGGUGUGAGAGGAUGACCAGCCACACUGGAACUGAGACACGGUCCAGACUCCUACGGGAGGCAGCAGUGGGGAAUAUUGCACAAUGGGCGCAAGCCUGAUGCAGCCAUUCCGCGUGUAUGAAGAAGGCCUUCGGGUUGUAAAGUACUUUCAGCGGGGAGGCGUUACCCGCAGAAGAAGCACCGGCUAACUCCGUGCCAGCCGCCGCGGUAAUAC
rnacentral:rRNA from 1 species